rnacentral:rRNA from 1 species
CCUACGGGUGGCAGCAGUGGGGAAUAUUGCACAAUGGGGGAAACCCUGAUGCAGCAACGCCGCGUGAGUGAAGAAGUAUUUCGGUAUGUAAAGCUCUAUCAGCAGGGAAGAAAAUGACAGUACCUGACUAAGAAGCCACUGCUAACUACGUGCCAGCAGCCGCGGUAAUACGGAGGGCGCAAGCGUUAUCCGGAUUUACUGGGUGUAAAGUGAGCGUAGACGGCUGCGCAAGUCAGAAGUGAAAGCCCGGGGUUCAACCGCGGGACUGCAUUUGAAACUGGAAAGCUAGAGUGCAGGAGAGGUAAGUGGAAUUCCUAGUGUAGGGGUGAAAUGCGUAGAUAUUAGGAGGAACACCAGUGGCGAAGGCGACUAACUGGACUAUAACUGACGUUGAGGCUCGAAAGCGUGGGGAGCAAACAGGAUUAGAUACCCCAGUAGUC